CCUACGGGAGGCAGCAGUGAGGAAUAUUGGUCAAUGGGCGCGAGCCUGAACCAGCCAAGUAGCGUGAAGGAUGACUGCACUACGGGUUGUACACUUCUUUUAUCAAGGAAUAAAGUGAGGCACGCGUGCCUUUUUGUAUGUACUUUAUGAAUAAGGAUCGGCUAACUCCGUGCCAGCAGCCGCGGUAAUACGGAGGAUCCGAGCGUUAUCCGGAUUUAUUGGGUUUAAAGGGAGCGUAGGUGGGUUGUUAAGUCAGUUGUGAAAGUUUGCGGCUCAACCGGAAAAUUGCAAUUGAUACUGGCAGCCUUGAGUACAGGUGAGGUAGGCGGAAUUCGUGGUGUAGCGGUGAAAUGCUUAGAUAUCGCGAAGAACUCCGAUUGCGAAGGCAGCAUACUAAACUGCCACUGACAUUGAUGCUCGAAAGUGUGGGUAUCAAACAGGAUUAGAUACCCGUGUAGUC
rnacentral:rRNA from 1 species